rnacentral:rRNA from 1 species
GACAGAGGGGGCAAGCGUUGCUCGGAAUCACUGGGCGUAAAGGGCGCGUAGGCGGCUGUUCAAGUCGGGGGUGAAAUCCCGUGGCUCAACCACGGAAUGGCCUUCGAUACUGGACGGCUCGAGACCGGAAGAGGUGAGUGGAACUGCGAGUGUAGAGGUGAAAUUCGUAGAUAUUCGCAAGAACACCAGUGGCGAAGGCGGCUCACUGGUCCGGUUCUGACGCUGAGGCGCGAAAGCGUGGGGAGCAAACAGG